rnacentral:lncRNA from 1 species
UUUUUUUUUUUUUUUUUGCCUCUGGAAGUGGGGAGGGAGAGCGCCCAGCAGCCUGGCAGUUGCCAUUUUUGGUGCUCUACUGCCAUCAAGCGGAAUUGGUUUGAGGUUCCCGCCUGCAUGUCCCUGUGCUCUGAUUUUAGGACAGGUCUGGGACACAGGGUCUAGCAGGUAAGCACAGCCUUCCAGGUCCAGAAGGCAGUGCAGGGUCCCAUGCCUCUCAGGUACACACAACAGUCCACCCAUUUCCCUGGGUCCACUGUGGUGCUUCCUGUUGGUGACAAGCCUGUGAUGUUCCUUUGUUCCACUUUAGACUCUCUAUCUAUAUAGAUGUGGCUGUCUUUCACCUCCUAUAGAUAUUCCCGCCAGUGUCUUGUAUGUGGUGUUAUUAAUCAUUCUUGUUAUCACUUUCCUCCUGUAUACACUUUACUCUAAUUUUUUUUGUAUUCACUGUGGCAGUCAAUAGGCCAUGCCAGUUCCAGUACAACUGGCUUCACAAAGAUUUCUAUUCGACUUUGUGUUUCUACUGUAUUGUCCCUAUCUUGUCCGGAACUGCAGCCAGUAUUCUUAUUGAUAUAUUGCUUAUCUGAGACUAGUAGCAAUAACUAUUUUAACAAUUUAUCUCUUAUUAAUUUGUUAACACAUAUAGAGUGAAAAAUGUAUAAUUUACUGCUAUCUUGGUCGUAUUUCUAUCACCUGAAAUAGUUACAUCUUGAUAAAAAAAACCACGUGCCUGUCUCACAUGCUACAGGGACUGAGCUAAAUGCUUACAAGGGAAAAGGGUUAUGCAAUUAGCCAUGAACCUUAAGGAAUAUUUCAUGACACUAGAGAAGAAAACAAAAUUGCAAAUGCCUCUUUCAACAGACUCAGAAAGCAUUUUUUUUACCUUUUAAUUAUCAAUAUGAUCACUUCUGGCAAAAUGGGACAGUUAAAUAUCACUAGUUCAGGGGUUAGAACUCAUCUUUUCAUCAGAACAUCAGAUUAAAUAAAGCUACUAAGACUGUGUCUUAUGUUAAUGUACCUGUUUCUCUUUUGCUGUUUUGUUGAAUGUUCUGAUGGCUGAAGGAAUUACAUUUAGUGGUCGAAAUGAUAAAAAAGUUACUAGGUUUCAGUGUAUUACCAUGAUAUUCUUAAUCUUUCAAUACAAUAGUAUUUUCAUCUUAAGGUUACAGUAGACAGUGUGUAACCUUAAGUUUUCAAAGACUACUUUUUAUGACUUUUCUUAUCUUCCCUUCUAGCCCACCACCUACCAGAGGUAUUGGAAAAGAACGGAUACGGAGGAAGUGGACCCAUUUAGAGGUGAUUAUUUGGAGCAAAUCCCAUCUGCUUUGUCAGUUAUUGAGCAGUUCCGUUCAUAGGCUGGCAAUGGCAGCUUGAUCCACUCUCAAAGUCUUCAUGGAUACACCAGCAGUCCGUUCAGUAAAGUCCAGAUAGCAGCAGUUGCACGACCUAGCAGGAACAACCAGGCCUCAGCUGAAGACAGUAGUCUACAGGAGGCAUUGGACUAGCAUGAAUGUCAGGAGAAACUUACAGCUGUGCCUCUCUUAAGGAAGUGAAGAUCAGUGAAGACAGGAGACCAAAAGGCGUUUAGCUGUGCAAGCAAGCCAAGCCCUUCUCCCAGUCCCUCCAAACAUCACUAGUCCUCCACAGGACUUGUCUCACCAUGUGUUGCCUCAGCAAAACUCACCUUUACAAACACAGCUUUGAAGGCCAGUUUUUUGAGUUAAUAAUGUAAACAAAUGUUAUUCUACGACAAACGUAGAAUUCAAGAGAAAAAUGGAGUAAUGAGUAAACCAGACAUUAAAAAAGAUUCUAUAAAUGAUCGAAUUACCUUUAGGCUACUGCAGCUUAGGUAUAAUGUAAGGGGAGUAAUAAUCUACAAAUAAGCAAAUGAGCCAAGAUGACCAAGAUGGAAAUGGUUUGAUUAGGAAUUUGAUUAGGGAAGUUCUGCCAAGGCAGGGAUAGUUGGGGUGGACACCUUUAGUCCCAGCACUGGGGCUUUAUGCAUGCUAAGGACGAGCUCUAUUGCUGGGCCCCACGCUCUAGAGUCAAUGCUCUAAAAUACUGCACAAACUAAUUCUCAGACAUUAACUGCAGGAAGAAUGCUCUAAUCCUAGAUGAGUGUUUUCAAAACAAAACUUAGCAGCGAAGACC